UACGAAGGGUGCAAGCGUUGUUCGGAAUCAUUGGGCGUAAAGCGCGCGCAGGCGGAUCAGUAAGUCAGGUGUGAAAUCUCGAGGCUCAACCUCGAAACUGCGCCUGAAACUACUAGUCUAGAAUGUCGGAGGGGGGCAGGGGGAAUUUUCACGUGUAGGGGGUAAAAAUCCGUAGAGAUGUGAAGGAACACCAGUGGCGAAGGCGAGUCCCCUGGAAAAACUCCUGACACUGAGGCACGAAAGCUAGGGGGAGCAAAACAGG
rnacentral:rRNA from 1 species